UUCGGGAUUGAGGCAUAAUUUUUUAAUUGAUAUUUAACUUAUCCAAAGACAACGAUCAUACUUGAAUCUUCCCAAAUACACAUACAAGCUAAGCUGCUACUUAUAUACAUAAACAUAAGCAAAUCACGUAAGAGAUCCAAUUAUAACUUACUGUAUUAAACAGAAAAUACAAAGCAAAAAAUUACACAUCCACAGGUGAAAAUGAAAAAAGAAUAACAUAAUCAACCAUUGUCAUUAAAACUGAACAUAAACAGUAAGCUCGAAUUUCAGGUCAAAGUUGAAAGUCAAUUAACAUUUAUUUUCCAACUCUCUAAAAACCACAAACUAUCAACAAGGAUAAACUAUCCCCAAUUUAUCGCAAAAUACAAAGCAAAAAAUUACACAUCUACAGGUGAAAAUGAAAAAAGAAUAACAUAAUCAACCAUUGUCAUUAAAACAGAACAUACAACAGUAAGCUCGAAAUUCAGGUCAAAGUUGAAAGUCAAUUAACAUUUAUUUUCCAACUCUCUAAAAACCACAAACUAUCAACAAGGAUAAACUAUCCCCAAUUUAUCGAAAACCCCUAAUUUGACAAUCCAAAAAAGGAGCGAAAUUCAAAACCAUACCCAAAAAUGAUGCACAGAUUCAU
rnacentral:lncRNA from 1 species